AACGCGUGGGAAUCUGCCCUUGGGUACGGAAUAACUCAGAGAAAUUUGUGCUAAUACCGUAUAAUGUCUUCGGACCAAAGAUUUAUCGCCCAAGGAUGAGCCCGCGUAAGAUUAGCUAGUUGGUGGGGUAAAGGCCUACCAAGGCUACGAUCUUUAGCUGGUCUGAGAGGAUGAUCAGCCACACUGGGACUGAGACACGGCCCAGACUCCUACGGGAGGCAGCAGUGGGGAAUAUUGGACAAUGGGCGAAAGCCUGAUCCAGCAAUGCCGCGUGAGUGAUGAAGGCCUUAGGGUUGUAAAGCUCUUUUACCAGGGAUGAUAAUGACAGUACCUGGAGAAUAAGCUCCGGCUAACUCCGUGCCAGCAGCCGCGGUAAUACGGAGGGAGCUAGCGUUGUUCGGAAUUACUGGGCGUAAAGCGCGCGUAGGCGGUUUUUUAAGUCAGAGGUGAAAGCCCAGUGCUCAACACUGGAACUGCCUUUGAAACUGGAAAACUUGAAUCUUGGAGAGGUCAGUGGAAUUCCGAGUGUAGAGGUGAAAUUCGUAGAUAUUCGGAAG
rnacentral:rRNA from 1 species